rnacentral:rRNA from 1 species
UACGUAGGGUGCAAGCGUUGUCCGGAAUUAUUGGGCGUAAAGAGCUCGUAGGCGGUCUGUUGCGUCUGCCGUGAAAACCCGAGGCUUAACCUCGGGCCUGCGGUGGAUACGGGCGGACUAGAGGUAGGUAGGGGAGAAUGGAAUUCCCGGUGUAGCGGUGAAAUGCGCAGAUAUCGGGAGGAACACCGGUGGCGAAGGCGGUUCUCUGGGCCUUACCUGACGCUGAGGAGCGAAAGCGUGGGGAGCGAACAGG